rfam:Streptomyces sparsogenes DSM 40356 contig00310, whole genome shotgun sequence.
CUUGACCGACCCCAGCCACAGCGGCCGCUCCGCGGGCCGCUCCUGGCCGUAGGUGGCCAGCAGCGCCUGGGCCUC